GUCUAGGCCUAUGUCUUAUGUAGCCCCGCCCCUUUUCAGAACUAAGUUUGGUUGUCUGUGUUUCGUUUGCAUUUCCACAGCUUGAAGGUGAAGAUCUCCCACAUAAUGACUCCGAAGCUCCAUACAUCGCUCUCAGUGGAGAACUUCCUGUACAUGAUGCUCUCUGGAGGCAUCCAGCGUAUGGGCAACAUGGUGUGACCUCCCACCUACAAGAAAGAUUACACAUCAAGCAUCGCUCACAAACAUCUUACGUGGUAAAAGAAAAGGACACACAACAUAAGACUAAAACGGCGACAGACGCACUAGUGUACACUAUUCAAAGGUAAACUGCAUGCAAACAUCUAGUCCGACACUGCACAUUUGUUUGUCAUUCAAAUGGGAAGGCAGCAUUAUUGUCAGCUGCCUUCUCUAGCUGAAGUGAUUUGUGUUUGGCUGAUUGAUGAGACUAGACUAGAGAUAUGUCCCUCCUGUAGAGCGGCUCGGCACACAUCCCGCCUAAACAGAUGACAAGUGUUUUAGAAUCAGCAUGCAGCAGCACCCUUGCU